GUACUAAAAGCUAAUUUGGGGAAAAGUUUUUAAUAACCUUUUCCAACUUGGGCUAUUAGCACAGUGGCUAAGACCAUAUUCCACAAUGGCCUAUACCACUUAGUAUGGGUCACUACUAUCUUGUGGCCUAAACU
ensembl:snoRNA